CUUCACAAACCUCAGUAAACAUAAAAAGCAUUCUCCAGUUUACAGAUUUUAUUUUAUAUGUUUUAAGCUUUGUAUUUUAAUCGAUUUGAUUGUUUGUUCUAACAAUUUUGUAUGUUUUUAAUUAUUCAUACAGUGAAAACAAUGGAAAUGAUGACAUUUAUCCAGAAGAAAUAUUUUAUCCAUCUCCAUCUUCUUCUUCUGGACAAAAUUUAUUUUCAUUGGAUAAGCUUCAAAAAAAUAUCAACGAUUUCGUCUAUUUUGUCACGACCGCUUCUAUGCGAUGUGAACAACAUACGAAUUAGAAACACAGUUUCAUCAUUGAAAAUAAUCAUCUAGAGUCGCCACUCUCAGAUUUUUAGAAAUUUUUUGUUUCUCUCAUUAAUUCUUCUUCUUAUUUUUUUUCUAUGCAUUACAUAACUGGUGUGAAGUUUGUAGUCAUGGUGAAAGAUUUUGCUUGAUUAGUCUGAUCGAAGCUUGAAAGUUUCGUGCAUGGCUUAAAAUUUACUUACCGAAAAAGUGUAGCAUACCGAUGAAGAUAUAAUGUAUUAUAAGUCAAAGAAUCAAUCAAAUAUUGUAAUUUUAGCUACC